AGAGUUUGAUCAUGGCUCAGAUUGAACGCUGGCGGCAGGCCUAACACAUGCAAGUCGAACGGUAGCACAGAAGAGCUUGCUCUUCGGGUGACGAGCGGCGGACGGGUGAGUAAUGUCUGGGAAACUGCCUGAUGGAGGGGGAUAACUACUGGAAACGGUAGCUAAUACCGCAUAAUGUCGCAAGACCAAAGAGGGGGACCUUCGGGCCUCUUGCCAUCAGAUGUGCCCAGAUGGGAUUAGCUAGUAGGUGGGGUAAUGGCUCACCUAGGCGACGAUCCCUAGCUGGUCUGAGAGGAUGACCAGCCACACUGGAACUGAGACACGGUCCAGACUCCUACGGGAGGCAGCAGUGGGGAAUAUUGGACAAUGGGCGAAAGCCUGAUCCAGCCAUGCCGCGUGUGUGAAGAAGGUCUUCGGAUUGUAAAGCACUUUAAGUUGGGAGGAAGGGCAGUAAAUUAAUACUUUGCUGUUUUGACGUUACCGACAGAAUAAGCACCGGCUAACUCUGUGCCAGCCGCCGCGGUAA
rnacentral:rRNA from 1 species